CCAAUAGCGUAUAUUAAAGUUGUUGCAGUUAAAAAGCUCGUAGUUGAAUUUCGGGGUUAGUAGGUUGGUCAUGCCUCUGGUAUGUACUGGUCUCACUGAUUCCUCCUUCCUGAUGAACCUUAAUGCCAUUAAUUUGGUGUUUUGGGGAAUUUGGACUGUUACUUUGAAAAAAUUAGAGUGUUUAAAGCAGGCAUUUUUGCUUGAAUACAUUAGCAUGGAAUAAUAAAAUAGGACGGCAUGGUUCUAUUUUGUUGGUUUCUAGGACCACCGUAAUGAUUAAUAGGGAUAGUUGGGGGCAUUAGUAUUCAAUUGUCAGAGGUGAAAUUCUUGGAUUUAUUGAAGACUAACUACUGCGAAAGCAUUUGCCAAGGAUGUUUUCAUUAAUCAAGAACGAAAGUUAGGGGAUCGAAGACGAUCAGAUACCGUCGUAGUCUUAACCAUAAACUAUGCCGACUAGGGAUCGGAUGAUGUUAAUUUUUUAAUGACUCAUUCGGCGCCUUACG
rnacentral:rRNA from 1 species